GACGAACGCUGGCGGCAUGCCUAAUACAUGCAAGUCGAGCGAACGGAUGAAGUGCUUGCACUUCUGACGUUAGCGGCGAACGGGUGAGUAACACGUAAGGAAUCUACCUAGAAGCGGGGGAUAACAUUCGGAAACGGGUGCUAAUACCGCAUAAUAUCUUCUUCCGCAUGGAAGAAGAUUGAAAGACGGCUCUGCUGUCACUUAUAGAUGACCUUGCGGUGCAUUAGUUAGUUGGUGGGGUAAUGGCCUACCAAGACGAUGAUGCAUAGCCGACCUGAGAGUGUGAUCGGCCACAUUGGGACUGAGACACGGCCCAAACUCCUACGGGAGGCAGCAGUCGGGAAUCUUCCGCAAUGGGCGAAAGCCUGACGGAGCAAUGCCGCGUGAGUGAAGAAGGCCUUCGGGUCGUAAAACUCUGUUAUAAGAAAAGAACAAAUUGUAGAGUAACUGCUACAGUCUUGACGGUAUCUUAUCAGAAAGCCACGGCUAACUACGUGCCAGCCGCCGCGGUAA
rnacentral:rRNA from 1 species